rnacentral:rRNA from 1 species
UCCAGAGGUCUCAAGCGUUGUUCGGAUUCAUUGGGCGUAAAGAGCUCGUAGGCGGUGUGUCACGUCGUUCGUGAAAACCUGCAGCUUAACUGUGGGCGUGCGGUCGAUACGGGCAUCACUGGAGUUCGGCAGGGGAGACUGGAAUUCCUGGUGUAGCGGUGAAAUGCGCAGAUAUCAGGAGGAACACCAGUGGCGAAGGCGGGUCUCUGGGCCGAUACUGACGCUGAGGAGCGAAAGCGUGGGGAGCAAACAGG